rnacentral:rRNA from 1 species
AUUGAACGCUGGCGGCAGGCCUAACACAUGCAAGUCGAACGAGUGGCGGACGGGUGAGUAAUGUCUGGGAAACUGCCUGAUGGAGGGGGAUAACUACUGGAAACGGUAGCUAAUACCGCAUACCAUCGGAUGUGCCCAGAUGGGAUUAGCUUGUAGGUGAGGUAACGGCGCACCUAGGAGACGAUCCCUAGCUGUUCUGAGAGGAUGACCGGCCACACUGGAACUGAGACACGGUCCAGACUCCUACGGGAGGAAGCAGUUGGGAAUAUGGCACAAUGGGCGCAAUCCUGAUGCAGCCAGGCCGCGUGUAUGAAGAAGGCAUUCGGGUUGUAAAGUACUUUCAGCGGGGAGGCGUUACCCGCAGAAGAAGCACCGGCUAACUCCGUGCCAGCCGACGCGGUAAUUC